UGGGGAAUAUUGCACAAUGGGCGCAAGCCUGAUGCAGCCAUGCCGCGUGUAUGAAGAAGGCCUUCGGGUUGUAAAGUACUUUCAGCGGGGAGGAAGGCGAUAAGGUUAAUAACCUUGUCGAUUGACGUUACCCGCAGAAGAAGCACCGGCUAACUCCGUGCCAGCAGCCGCGGUAAUACGGAGGGUGCAAGCGUUAAUCGGGAUUACUGGGCGUAAAGCGCACGCAGGCGGUCUGUCAAGUCGGAUGUGAAAUCCCCGGGCUCAACCUGGGAACUGCAUUCGAAACUGGCAGGCUAGAGUCUUGUAGAGGGGGGUAGAAUUCCAGGUGUAGCGGUGAAAUGCGUAGAGAUCUGGAGGAAUACCGGUGGCGAAGGCGGCCCCCUGGACAAAGACUGACGCUCAGGUGCGAAAGCGUGGGGAGCAAACA
rnacentral:rRNA from 1 species